rnacentral:tRNA from 1 species
GGAGAGGUGACCGAGCGGUUGAAGGUGCACGCCUGGAAAGCGUGUGUACGGCAACGUACCCAGGGUUCAAAUCCCUGCCUCUCCGCCA